GUAUUCAUUUUAUUUUUAUAUUAUUUAUUUAUUCUUCCUUAGUUUCUUGAGAUUAUCAUCCGCUGAGGGUGGAAGGGGAGUGAGCAGACACACUCAGGAGGUGUCUUGAGAUUAUCAUCCGCUGAGGGUGGAGCUGAGGGUGGAAGGGGAGUGAGCAGACACUCGGGAGGUGUCUUGAGAUUAUCAUCCGCUGAGGGUAGAGCUGAGGGUGGAAGGGGAGUGAGCAGACACUCGGGAGGUGUCUUGAGGCUCAGGGAGUUAUCAAUUAUAGAAUGUUGUUGAGUUGGAGGAGGUGGCUGGUGGCCCAUCCUGUUUUUUAAAGUUUCAGCUGUGAGGGCCAGUAGGGCAAUCCUGAAGAAUGACGAUGCUCCACUGCCGCCAUUCUGACCUGUAGGGCCAAAGGAGGGAAUGUUUUCACACAUAUUCAUUUGAUGGACAAAAUUACCGCCACCAACACAGUCUGCACCUUCUGUUGCUGGUGAUAGAUUUUUGCACCUUUCCAUCCUCCAGGUUUCAAAAUAGCAGUGUCAGUGUCAUAAUAUCACCCUUCCACUGAGUACUGCCGACAGCUAGGGGGUAAAGAAAAGUCAUUGGGACACACUGUUGUCUCCACAUGCCACUGUGUCUGUCUGCAAAUGUAGGCAGGCUGGGGUCCUGCCCCAGGGAAGACAGAGUCAUAACAGAGUAAUAAAGAAGCAUGUUUGAGACACAGGAGUGUCUAUGUCUAUCCUCAUUCCUCCCUCACAGCCAUCACCAGAGCAUGUUUCUUGCACCAGGUCAAUAGACAGUAAGAGACAGUAAGAGAGGCAUGAAAAGCCCAUUGUCCACACAUGUUGCAGCUUCUUUUUGGAGAAUGUUUUCCAGGCCUUUUAUGUUCUGUCUCUGAUUCUCAGAACUCUGCAAGGUCAGUGUGACCACCCUGCUCCAAAUCUAAGAAAACAGAGGUUUCCAGAGGAAGGAGA
rnacentral:lncRNA from 1 species